rnacentral:rRNA from 1 species
CAAGUCAGAUGUGAAAGCCUUCUGUUCAACGGGAGAAUUGCAUCUGAAACUGCUAAUCUUGAGUAUAGGAUGGGAGAAUGGAACUUCUGGUGGAGCGGUGAAAUGCGUAGAUAUCAGAAGGAACGCCGGCGGCGAAAGCGAUUCUCUGGCCUAUUACUGACACUCAGUGUGCGAAAGCUAGGGGAGCAAACGGGAUUAGAUACCCCGGUAGUCCUAGCCGUAAACGAUGGGCACUAAGUAGAGGGGAUUACCUAUGUUCUCUCUGCCGUAGCUAACGCAUUAAGUGCCCCGCCUGGGGAGUACGGCCGCAAGGCUAAAACUCAAAAGAAUUGACGGGGGCUCGCACAAGCGGUGGAGCAUGUGGCUUAAUUCGAUGUAACGCGAAAAACCUUACCGGGGCUUGACAUGAUAGAAGUAGGAACCUGAAAGGGGGACGAACGGUAUCCAGUCCGUAGCUAUUACAGGUGUUGCAUGGCUGUCGUCAGCUCGUGUCGUGAGACGUUGGGUUAAGUCCCCUAACGAGCGAAACCCUUGUUUUUAGUUACCAGCGGGUUAUGCCGGGUACUCUAGAAAGACUGCCGUCGUCAAGACGGAGGAAGGUGGGGAUGACGUCAAGUCAUCAUGGCCCUUAUGCCCCGGGCUGCACACGUGCUACAAUGGUCGGUACAGACGGAAGCG